ACUCCUACGGGAGGCAGCAGUAGGGAAUCUUCCACAAUGGGCGCAAGCCUGAUGGAGCAACACCGCGUGAGUGAAGAAGGGUUUCGGCUCGUAAAGCUCUGUUGUUAAAGAAGAACACGUAUGAGAGUAACUGUUCAUACGUUGACGGUAUUUAACCAGAAAGUCACGGCUAACUACGUGCCAGCAGCCGUGGUAAUACGUAGGUGGCAAGCGUUAUCCGGAUUUAUUGGGCGUAAAGAGAGUGCAGGCGGUUUUCUAAGUCUGAUGUGAAAGCCUUCGGCUUAACCGGAGAAGUGCAUCGGAAACUGGAUAACUUGAGUGCAGAAGAGGGUAGUGGAACUCCAUGUGUAGCGGUGGAAUGCGUAGAUAUAUGGAAGAACACCAGUGGCGAAGGCGGCUACCUGGUCUGCAACUGACGCUGAGACUCGAAAGCAUGGGUAGCGAACAGGAUUAGAUACCCUGGUAGGAUAGCG
rnacentral:rRNA from 1 species